rnacentral:lncRNA from 1 species
CAGGACACGCAGAAGGCGAAGCAGUUCCUGCCGUUCCUGCAGCGCGCCGGCCGCUCGGAGGCCGUGGUUGAAUACGUCUUCAGCGGCUCUCGCCUCAAACUCUUCCUGCCCAAGGAGACGUGUCUCAUCACCUUCCUGCUGGCCGGCAUCGAAUGCCCCCGCGGUGCACGCAACCUCCCGGGAUGGUGCAAGAAGGGGAACCCUUCAGCGAGGAAGCAACGCAGUUCACCAAGGAGCUGGUGCUGCAACGGGAGGU